UACGUAGGGGGCAAGCGUUGUCCGGAAUCAUUGGGCGUAAAGAGCGCGUAGGCGGCCCAGUAAGUCCGCUCUGAAAGUCAGGGGCUCAACCCCUGGAUGCGGGUGGAUACUGCUGGGCUAGAGUCCGGAAGAGGUGAGUGGAAUUCCUGGUGUAGCGGUGAAAUGCGCAGAUAUCAGGAGGAAUACCGGUGGCGAAGGCGGCAUCCUGGACCAUUACUGACGCUGAGGCGCGAAAGCUAGGGGAGCAAACGGG
rnacentral:rRNA from 1 species